rnacentral:rRNA from 1 species
AGAGUUUGAUCCUGGCUCAGAACGAACGCUGGCGGCAUGCCUAACACAUGCAAGUCGAACGAGAAGCCGUCUUCGGAUGGUGGACAGUGGCGCACGGGUGAGUAACGCGUGGGUAUCUGCCCUGGAGUGGGGGACAACUGCUGGAAACGGCAGCUAAUACCGCAUACGCCCUUAGGGGGAAAGCUUUAUGCGCUCCAGGAUGAGCCCGCGUCGGAUUAGCUUGUUGGUGAGGUAAUGGCUCACCAAGGCGACGAUCCAUAGCUGGUCUGAGAGGACGAUCAGCCACACCGGAACUGAGACACGGUCCGGACUCCUACGGGAGGCAGCAGUGGGGAAUAUUGGACAAUGGGGGCAACCCUGAUCCAGCAAUGCCGCGUGUGUGAAGAAGGCCUGCGGGUUGUAAAGCACUUUCAGUAGUGAAGAUUGGCAUAAUGGUUAAUACCCAUCAUGCUUGACGUUAACUACAGAAGAAGCACCGGCUAACUCCGUGCCAGCAUCCGCGGUAAUACGGAGGGUGCAAGCGUUAAUCGGAAUUACUGGGCGUAAAGCGCGCGUAGGCGGCUGUGUAAGUCAGAUGUGAAAGCCCCGGGCUUAACCUGGGAAUUGCAUCUGAUACUGCACGACUAGAGUAUGUUAGAGGGAAGUGGAAUUCCGGGUGUAGCGGUGAAAUGCGUAGAUAUCCGGAGGAACACCAGUGGCGAAGGCGGCAUCCUGGGUCAAGACUGACGCUGAGGCUCGAAAGCGUGGGGAGCAAACAGGAUUAGAUACCCUGGUAGUCCACGCCCUAAACGAUGUCAACUAGACGUUGGGUUCAUUCAGGAACUUAGUGUCGAAGCUAACGCGUUAAGUUGACCGCCUGGGGAGUACGGCCGCAAGGUUGAAACUCAAAGGAAUUGACGG